rnacentral:rRNA from 1 species
AGCGAACGCUGGCGGCAGGCUUAACACAUGCAAGUCGAACGCAUCACUUCGGUGGUGAGUGGCAGACGGGUGAGUAACACGUGGGAACGUACCCUUCGAUCUGGGAUAACUUCGGGAAGCUGGAGCUAAUACCGGAUACGCCCUUUUUGGGAAAGGUUUACUGUCGAAGGAUCGGCCCGCGUCUGAUUAGCUAGUUGGUGGGGUAACGGCCUACCAAGGCGACGACCAGUAGCUGGUCUGAGAGGAUGAUCAGCCACACUGGGACUGAGACACGGCCCAGACUCCUACGGGAGGAAGCAGUGGGGAAUAUUGGACAAUGGGCGCAAGCCUGAUCCAGCCAUGCCGCGUAAGUGAUGAAGGCCUUAGGGUUGUAAAGCUCUUUUGUCCGGGACGAUAAUGACGGUACCGGAAGAAUAAGCCCCGGCUAACUUCGUG